rnacentral:rRNA from 1 species
CCCUACCUACGGGGGGCAGCAGUAGGGAAUAUUGCUCAAUGGGGGAAACCCUGAAGCAGCAACGCCGCGUGGAGGAUGAAGGUUUUAGGAUUGUAAACUCCUUUUGUUAGAGAAGAUUAUGACGGUAUCUAACGAAUAAGCACCGGCUAACUCCGUGCCAGCAGCCGCGGUAAUACGGAGGGUGCAAGCGUUACUCGGAAUCACUGGGCGUAAAGAGUGCGUAGGCGGGGUAAUAAGUCAGAUGUGAAAUCCUGUGGCUUAACCAUAGAACUGCAUUUGAAACUGUUAUUCUAGAGUAUGGGAGG